rnacentral:rRNA from 1 species
AAUAGAUACCCGGGUAGUCCACGCCGUAAACGAUGAGUGCUAAGUGUUAGAGGGUUUCCGCCCUUUAGUGCUGCAGCAAACGCAUUAAGCACUCCGCCUGGGGAGUACGGCCGCAAGGCUGAAACUCAAAGGAAUUGACGGGGGCCCGCACAAGCGGUGGAGCAUGUGGUUUAAUUCGAAGCAACGCGAAGAACCUUACCAGGUCUUGACAUCUCCUGACAACCCUAGAGAUAGGGCGUUCCCCUUCGGGGGACAGGAUGACAGGUGGUGCAUGGUUGUCGUCAGCUCGUGUCGUGAGAUGUUGGGUUAAGUCCCGCAACGAGCGCAACCCUUGAUCUUAGUUGCCAGCAUUCAGUUGGGCACUCUAAGGUGACUGCCGGUGACAAACCGGAGGAAGGUGGGGAUGACGUCAAAUCAUCAUGCCCCUUAUGACCUGGGCUACACACGUGCUACAAUGGAUGGUACAAAGGGCUGCGAGACCGCGAGGUUAAGCGAAUCCCAUAAAACCAUUCUCAGUUCGGAUUGCAGGCUG